CAGGUGGUCAGGUAGAGAAUACCAAGGCGCUUGAGAGAACUCGGGUGAAGGAACUAGGCAAAAUGGUGCCGUAACUUCGGGAGAAGGCACGCUGAUAUGUAGGUGAAGUCCCUCGCGGAUGGAGCUGAAAUCAGUCGAAGAUACCAGCUGGCUGCAACUGUUUAUUAAAAACACAGCACUGUGCAAACACGAAAGUGGACGUAUACGGUGUGACGCCUGCCCGGUGCCGGAAGGUUAAUUGAUGGGGUUAGCGGUAACGCGAAGCUCUUGAUCGAAGCCCCGGUAAACGGCGGCCGUAACUAUAACGGUCCUAAGGUAGCGAAAUUCCUUGUCGGGUAAGUUCCGACCUGCACGAAUGGCGUAAUGAUGGCCAGGCUGUCUCCACCCGAGACUCAGUGAAAUUGAACUCGCUGUGAAGAUGCAGUGUACCCGCGGCAAGACGGAAAGACCCCGUGAACCUUUACUAUAGCUUGACACUGAACAUUGAGCCUUGAUGUGUAGGAUAGGUGGGAGGCUUUGAAGUGUGGACGCCAGUCUGCAUGGAGCCGACCUUGAAAUACCACCCUUUAAUGUUUGAUGUUCUAACGUUGACCCGUGAUCCGGGUUGCGGACAGUGUCUGGUGGGUAGUUUGACUGGGGCGGUCUCCUCCUAAAGAGUAACGGAGGAGCACGAAGGUUGGCUAAUCCUGGUCGGACAUCAGGAGGUUAGUGCAAUGGCAUAAGCCAGCUUGACUGCGAGCGUGACGGCGCGAGCAGGUGCGAAAGCAGGUCAUAGUGAUCCGGUGGUUCUGAAUGGAAGGGCCAUCGCUCAACGGAUAAAAGGUACUCCGGGGAUAACAGGCUGAUACCGCCCAAGAGUUCAUAUCGACGGCGGUGUUUGGCACCUCGAUGUCGGCUCAUCACAUCCUGGGGCUGAAGUAGGUCCCAAGGGUAUGGCUGUUCGCCAUUUAAAGUGGUACGCGAGCUGGGUUUAGAACGUCGUGAGACAGUUCGGUCCCUAUCUGCCGUGGGCGCUGGAGAACUGAGGGGGGCUGCUCCUAGUACGAGAGGACCGGAGUGGACGCAUCACUGGUGUUCGGGUUGUCAUGCCAAUGGCACUGCCCGGUAGCUAAAUGCGGAAGAGAUAAGUGCUGAAAGCAUCUAAGCACGAAACUUGCCCCGAGAUGAGUUCUCCCUGACUCCUUGAGAGUCCUGAAGGAACGUUGAAGACGACGACGUUGAUAGGCCGGGUGUGUAAGCGCAGCGAUGCGUUGAGCUAACCGGUACUAAUGAACCGUGAGGCUUAACCUUACAACGCCGAAGCUGUU
rnacentral:rRNA from 1 species